AUACGGAGGAUCCGAGCGUUAUCCGGAUUUAUUGGGUUUAAAGGGUGCGCAGGCGGCCAUUUAAGUCAGCGGUUAAAUCGUGGGGCUCAACCCCAUUCUGCCGUUGAUACUGGGUGGCUUGAUUGCGGUCGAGGUUGGCGGAAUUCGUUGUGUAGCGGUGAAAUGCAUAGAUAUGACGAAGAACACCGAUUGCGUAGGCAGCUGACCAGACCGCAAAUGACGCUCAUGCACGCAAGUGCGGGGAUCGAACAGGAUUAGAUUCCCUGGUAGUCCGCACAGUAAACGAUGAAUACUUGUUUUCGGCGAUAUAAUGUCGGAGGCAAAGCGAAAGCGAUAAGUAUUCCACCUGGGGAGUACGCCGGCAACGGUGAAACUCAAAUGAAUUGGCGGGG
rnacentral:rRNA from 1 species